rnacentral:lncRNA from 1 species
AACUUAGAGAUUGUGAGAAAACCUCCAAAAAUUGCACUAAUGUCACUCGGCCGCCAACUUGAAAAGUGAAGCAAAAAUCCUAGCAAUGAUUUCUCCCUUUUCAAUUGUUAACUUUGUCUCAAAAUUGGUUUAUAGCUUGAUCUUCAAGACUUUCAAUACCAUGCCAAUUUUCACCUUAAUCCAACUGAUAGAUCUUUAGAUAUCAUAGAAAUCCUACCCAAUCUCAAACUGCCACCUUCCAAAAUCCGCUUGAGCUAAAAAUUAGAUAUCUCUAAACCAUGCCAUUAGAUUAUCACAAAAUUUUGUAUAUACUUAUCAUACCCAAUAAUCCAAAUAGAAUCGAGUUUUCAAUGGUAGAUGUCAUACCAAUUGUACGAACUAGCCAAAAUUUCUAACCCUAAUUAUAUUAUAUAAAACCCAAAUCACUGAU